UGGACUUUAACCAUACAUGGUCAAACCAUGGUUAACCAUGCACUUUAACCAGAGACCUGGAAGUUAAAUGUGAAACUGGGAAGAGAAGAGAGUUGGAUCUGGUAGACCACAGCUGGCACGGUUCUGAGUUUAGACAGCAUUUAUUUCACUGAUGCACAUCAAUCAAAGAAAGGACCAAGGGAAAAGCAAAACGAGGAUGCCAAGAUAACAUUCAAAUUUUACAGCUAUACCACAAAGUGGAAAUUGUUCUGGGAAAAUGGGACUGUGGAAAAGUUGACAGAAGAAAAUAUCAUCUUUCUGGAGGAUGUCACUUUAUAGUUACACUGUGGGCAAAUUAUUGUUAUUAUAAACAGACAGUUCUACAAUCAGACAAGGAAGUCACAGCUAAGAGAUUUUAUAUCAACCUCUAAAACAAAAUAUCAACAGCCUAACACAAGGACUGGAGGCAGAACAAGAUGAUUGAAUAGAAGGCUCCACUGCAAGGACACCAAUUUAACAACAAUCUACACAGAAAAAAAAUACCUGGAUAAGAAAAGAAAAUCAGGUGAGCCCUCAUGAUACAGAGUUUUAACUCCAUAUUGCUGAAAGAGUCACUGAAACCAUAGAGAAAAGAGCCCUGACUGCCGACGGCACCCAUUCCGCACACCCAGAAGUGCAAGCUUGGUGCAGAGAGCCUCUCUGGGUGCAGGGGGAGAGAGAGUACAGCAAUUGUGAGGCACUGAACUCAGUGAUGUGGAUUUGGGAGAGAGAAAUUAUUUAGGCAGAUAAUAAGGACAGCAGAGUCCUCAGCAGAAUUUUUUCUUUUAAUAAACCAGCCCCCAAAUCAUUUCUUUUCUAACA
rnacentral:lncRNA from 13 species